rnacentral:rRNA from 1 species
CCCUUAGAUGUUCUGGGCCGCACGCGCGCUACACUGAUGAAUGCAACGAGCUCUACCCUUGACCGAAAGGCCCGGGUAAACUUGUGAAACUUCAUCGUGAUGGGGAUAGAUUAUUGCAAUUAUUAAUCUUCAACGAGGAAUUCCUAGUAAGCGCGAGUCAUCAGCUCGCGUUGAUUACGUCCCUGCCCUUUGUACACACCGCCCGUCGCUCCUGCCGAUUGAAUGGUCCGGUGAAAUCUUCGGAUUGCUGACCAAGAUCCAGCAAUGGAGCUUGGUUGCGAGAAGUUGAUUAAACCUUAUUAUUUAGAGGAAGGAGAAGUCGUAACA